rnacentral:rRNA from 1 species
UCUAGUGAUGAUGGCAAAGAGGUCACACCCGUUCCCAUGUCGAACACGGAAGUUAAGCUCUUUAGCGCCGAUGGUAGUUGGGGGUUUCCCCCUGUGAGAGUAGGACGUUGCUAGAC